rnacentral:lncRNA from 1 species
CAUUUAUUUGCUUCUGCCUCUGCAACCUUGUUUACUCGUUUUUGCUUUUUAUUUUUGUAUGGAACUUUGCAAGUUUACUACUUGCAUUCUCUGGGGAGUAGCAUACCAUGUUCCUAAAAGCUAAAAGAAGGUUUGUGAUUUGUCCCAUAAAUUUUGAAAGAUAAAAUUACUUUGUACCCGAAAAACUAGAAGUCAAUCAAUUUAGUCUUUUAUUUUACUUCAAUUAAAGGAUUAUAUUGACUGACGUUUUUAUUUUCAGGGGAUGAAAAUUUAAAGUGAUUUUAAAAUUUUUAUAAACUGAUGUGACUCAUCUCAUAUCUGUCAUAUAACGCACCAAAAUAUAGUUUUACUCAUUUUGUGGGAGAUGGUUUCUAGUGGGCUUUCCUUCCAUUAUUCCUCAGGUGUUGUUACGUGUACCAUGCAAAUUAUUAGUACAUCCAGCAUAAUUUGUGUAAUUCCUAUUUUGCUCUUCAUAUAGGUUGGGCAAUUCGUAAAUUGGGCUUACGGAUUGGCUAAUUCGUACAAGGUUAUGGAUUGUUCAAAUCUGUAAGUGACUCAAACUAUUUUUUUUUUUUGAAAAUUCAUAUAUGUAAACAAAUUAAUUAUUAGAUUAAAAUUAAAUGUUACAAAAUAUAUUAUCUAAAUUUACAUACGGAUUAAAUAUACAUUAGAAAUUUUAGUGUUACAUAUAAUAACAUUAAUUAUUUUAUAACAUAAUUGAUCUACGAGUUCAGAUUGUUAGAGCAUCAUAUUAAUAAAGCCACCAAAGUCACAUGUGUGUGGAUUUGGGCCGCUUAUGGAUUGAUCAAUUCAUAUCAACUAUACGGAAGGGUAAUAUUGGAAUAGUGCUGGUGCACAAAGUGACAGCCUAUUUCUCAAAGUGUGCUGACUUCCCAAGCCCAGAGUUGCGUUAUGCUGUAAAAUGGGCUUUCCUUUGCUUUAGUAGUCAAAAUCACAAAAAUACCGAGAGGAAUGGACAGACACUUGUAAUUAACAGAUGAGGAAAUACUGACUAGUAAUUAACAGGACAGACACUUGUAAUUUUGUUGGUCACUGAAAGGUUGUGACGGAUUCUACUUUGGAUGUGUUUGUAAUUUUUUAACUUGAAAAUUUGUUUGGCCAAAAUAAAAUUGUACAAUAAUAUUUUUUUUUCUAGUUUGUUAUUUUAUCUAAUCGUCUUUGAUUU